rfam:Dipodomys ordii contig_72537, whole genome shotgun sequence.
GGUAGGUAGCUCAGUGGUAGAGUGCUUGCCUUGCAUGCAUGAGGCCCUGGGUUCGAUUCCUCAGCACCA